rnacentral:rRNA from 1 species
AGAUUAAGCCAUGCAUGUCUAAGUAUAAACAUUUGUACUGUGAAACUGCGGACGGCUCAUUAAAUCAGUUAUAGUUUAUUUGAUAGUAGCUACUACUUGGAUAACCGUGGUAAUUCUAGAGCUAAUACAUGCACUGAAAAUCCCGACUUCUGGAAGGGAUGUAUUUAUUAGAUAAAAACCAACCCGGGCAACCGGUUCUUUGGUGAUUCAUGAUAACUUUUCGAAUCGCAU